UUGAGUUAGGGUCUUCUAGGCCCGACCUCCCAACCCUUUGUUUACCCUAAAAAAAUGUUGCUUUGGCGAGGCCCGUCUUUAUUGACCGCCGGAGGGUCGUCUGUUUACCACGGGCGUCUUCUGGCCAGCGCCUGCCAAGAGGCCAAACCCCUAAACUCUGUCUAAAUCGUGUCAUGAUUGUCUGAGUACAGUGAUUAAAUAAGUACA
rnacentral:misc_RNA from 1 species